AUUGAACGCUGGCGGAAUGCUUUACACAUGCAAGUCGAGCGGCAGCGCGGCCUUCGGGCUGGCGGCGAGCGGCGAACGGGUGAGUAAUGCAUCGGAACAUGCCCAGUCGUGGGGGAUAACACUUCGAAAGAAGUGCUAAUACCGCAUACGUCCUGAGGGGGAAAGCGGGGGAUCGCAAGACCUCGCGCGAUUGGAGUGGCCGAUGUCAGAUUAGCUAGUUGGUGGGGUAAAGGCCUACCAAGGCGACGAUCUGUAGCUGGUCUGAGAGGAUGAUCAGCCACACUGGGACUGGGACACGGCCCAGACUCCUACGGGAGGCAGCAGUGGGGAAUUUUGGACAAUGGGGGCAACCCUGAUCCAGCCAUUCCGCGUGAGUGGAGAAGGCCUUCGGGUUGUAAAGCUCUUUCGGCAGGAACGAAACGGUGGGCUCUAACAUAGUCCGCUAAUGACGGUACCUGAAGAAGAAGCACCGGCUAACUACGUG
rnacentral:rRNA from 1 species